rnacentral:lncRNA from 7 species
CACAUGCAUUUUCUCUUUCAAAUCCCCCUUCAUUUAAACUGAAAAUCACGCAUAUUCUCUACAAAACUUGCUGUUUAAACCAAAAAUUGCGCGUUUUCUCUUCAACAAUCCCCCGUUUAACCCCAAAUCACGCAUUUUCUCUUGGAAAACCCCCAUUUAACUCAAAAACCUCACCUUUUCUCUUGGAAAAUACGCAUUACCCCCAAAUCAUGCAUUUUCUCUCAAAAAUACCCCAUUAACCCCAAAUCACACAUUUUCUCCUCAGAAAUCCCCCUUUAACCCCCAAAUCACACAUUUUCUCUUGGAAAAUCCCCCAUUUACCCCAAAAUCAUGCUUUAUCUCUUCAAAAAUACCCCAUUAUCCCCCAAAUCACACAUCUUCUCUAGGAAAAUCCCCCAUUUACCCCAAAAUCAUGCUUUAUCUCUUCAAAAAUACCCCAUUAUCCCCCAAAUCACACAUCUUCUCUAGGAAAAUCCCCCAUUUAACUCGGAAAUCACACUUUUGCUCUUCAAAUAUCCCCCAUUUGACCCCAAAAUCAAACAUUUUUGCUACAAGAAUCCCCCAUGUAUCCAAAAAAUCACGCGUUUCCUCUACAAAAAUCUCACAUGUAAACGAAACUCAUGCAUUUCCUCUUCAAAAAUCCCCCAUUUAACCAGUAGAAAAUGCAAUUUCUCUUCGAGAAUCCCCCAUUGAACCCGAAAAUGAUGCAUUUUCUCUUCAAGAAUCCCUGAUUCAUCCCGAAUAUCACACAUUUUCUCUUCAAAAAUCUCCCAUGUAACCUGAAAAUCACGCAUUAUCUCUACGAAAAUCACACAUUUAAUGCAAACAUCAGGCAUUUUCUCAUUGAGAAUCCGCGAUUUAACUGAAAAUCACACAUUUUCUCUUGAAAAAUCCCCUAUUUAACCCGAAAAUCACGCCUUUUCUUUGCAAAUAUCCCCCACUUAACACAAAAAUCAUGCCUUUUCUCUAUGAAAAUCCCCCAUCUAAAAAGAAAAUCAUGCAUUUUCGUUUGGAAAAUCCCCCAUUUAAGUGAAAAUCGCACAUUUUGGCUUCGAAAACCCCCAAUUUAACCUGAAACGAAGCAUUUCCUCUUCGAAAACCCCCCAUUUUACCCGAAAAUCAUGCAUUUUCCCUUCCAAAAUACCCCAUUUAAACAAAAAUCACACAUUUUCUCUUUCAGAAUCCCUGAUUUAAACUGAAAAUCACGCAUAUUCUCUACAAAACUUGCUGUUUAAACCAAAAAUUGCGCGUUUUCUCUUCAACAAUCCCCCGUUUAACCCCAAAAUCACGCAUUUUCUCUUGGAAAACCCCCCAUUUAACUCAAAAACCUCACCUUUUCUCUUGGAAAAUACGCAUUUACCCCCAAAUCAUGCAUUUUCUCUCCAAAAAUACCCCAUUAACCCCCAAUCACACAUUUUCUCUCAGAAAUCCCCCAUUUAACCAAAUCACACUUUUCUCUUCAAAAUCCCCCAUUUAACCCGAAAAUCACACAUUUUCCCUUCAACAAUCCCCAUUUAAUCUGAAAAUCACGCAUUUUCUCUUGGAAAAUCACCCAUUUAACUCGAAAAUCACUCAUUUUCUCUUCAAAAAUCCCUCAUUUAACCCCAAAAUCAAACACUUGCGCUACAAGAAUCUCCCAUGUAACCUGAAAAUCAUGCAUUUUCUCUUCGAAAAUCCCCCAUUUAACCAGGAAAAAAAGGCUAUUUCUCUGUGGAAAUCCCCAUGUAACCCGACAAUGAUGCAUUUUCUCUUCAAGAAUCCCUGAUCUAACCUGAAAAUCACGCAUUUUCACUUCAAAAAUACAUAAUUAAUCAAAAAUCACAAGUUUUCCCUUAAAAAAAAAAA